UUUUAAAAAAGUCUAUGGGCCAGGUGUUUCAAACUGGCUGCGGCUGGCUUCAGUUCUUCCCCUUCAAGGUCAGUCAUGACAAGGCACCAUAUUUGAAACAGAAUGCUGACAAACUGGAAAGAAUUCAGAAGUGAACGAGGGUCUCGAAGACAAAUCUGAAACAUCAAACUGGGUAAGAGUUUUUUGAGAACUUGAAACGCUGCUCCACAUGGGAGGGUGAGUGAUGUCAUGAUUGUCACACAGGACAGCAAAUCAGAACAUUGCAUACAGUUAGCUUGUACUGGAAACAGGAAGAAGUGAUCUCCCUUAAG